rnacentral:rRNA from 1 species
GUGCACCAGUCGAGAAACCUCCGCAAUGCGGGAAACCGCGACGGGGGACCCCGAGUGCCGUGGCAACGCCACGGCUUUUCCGGAGUGUAAAAAGCUCCGGGAAUAAGGGCUGGGCAAGGCCGGUGGCAGCCGCCGCGGUAAUACCGGCGGCCCGAGUGGUGGCCGCUAUUAUUGGGCCUAAAGCGUCCGUAGCCGGGCCCGUAAGUCCCUGGCGAAAUCCCACGGCUCAACCGUGGGGCUUGCUGGGGAUACUGCGGGUCUUGGGACCGGGAGAGGCGGGGGGUACCCCUGGGGUAGGGGUGAAAUCCUAUAAUCCCAGGGGGACCGCCAGUGGCGAAGGCGCCCCGCUGGAACGGGUCCGACGGUGAGGGACGAAGGCCAGGGGAGCAAAACCGGAUUAGAUACCCCUGUAGU